UUAAAUUGAAGAGUUUGAUCAUGGCUCAGAUUGAACGCUGGCGGCAGGCCUAACACAUGCAAGUCGAACGGUAACAGGAAGAAGCUUGCUUCUUUGCUGACGAGUGGCGGACGGGUGAGUAAUGUCUGGGAAACUGCCUGAUGGAGGGGGAUAACUACUGGAAACGGUAGCUAAUACCGCAUAACGUCGCAAGACCAAAGAGGGGGACCUUCGGGCCUCUUGCCAUCGGAUGUGCCCAGAUGGGAUUAGCUUGUUGGUGGGGUAACGGCUCACCAAGGCGACGAUCCCUAGCUGGUCUGAGAGGAUGACCAGCCACACUGGAACUGAGACACGGUCCAGACUCCUACGGGAGGCAGCAGUGGGGAAUAUUGCACAAUGGGCGCAAGCCUGAUGCAGCCAUGCCGCGUGUAUGAAGAAGGCCUUCGGGUUGUAAAGUACUUUCAGCGGGGAGGAAGGGAGUAAAGUUAAUACCUUUGCUCAUUGACGUUACCCGCAGAAGAAGCACCGGCUAACUCCGUGCCAGCAGCCGCGGUAAUACGGAGGGUGCAAGCGUUAAUCGGAAUUACUGGGCGUAAAGCGCACGCAGGCGGUUUGUUAAGUCAGAUGUGAAAUCCCCGGGCUCAACCUGGGAACUGCAUCUGAUACUGGCAAGCUUGAGUCUCGUAGAGGGGGGUAGAAUUCCAGGUGUAGCGGUGAAAUGCGUAGAGAUCUGGAGGAAUACCGGUGGCGAAGGCGGCCCCCUGGACGAAGACUGACGCUCAGGUGCGAAAGCGUGGGGAGCAAACAGGAUUAGAUACCCUGGUAGUCCACGCCGUAAACGAUGUCGACUUGGAGGUUGUGCCCUUGAGGCGUGGCUUCCGGAGCUAACGCGUUAAGUCGACCGCCUGGGGAGUACGGCCGCAAGGUUAAAACUCAAAUGAAUUGACGGGGGCCCGCACAAGCGGUGGAGCAUGUGGUUUAAUUCGAUGCAACGCGAAGAACCUUACCUGGUCUUGACAUCCACGGAAGUUUUCAGAGAUGAGAAUGUGCCUUCGGGAACCGUGAGACAGGUGCUGCAUGGCUGUCGUCAGCUCGUGUUGUGAAAUGUUGGGUUAAGUCCCGCAACGAGCGCAACCCUUAUCCUUUGUUGCCAGCGGUCCGGCCGGGAACUCAAAGGAGACUGCCAGUGAUAAACUGGAGGAAGGUGGGGAUGACGUCAAGUCAUCAUGGCCCUUACGACCAGGGCUACACACGUGCUACAAUGGCGCAUACAAAGAGAAGCGACCUCGCGAGAGCAAGCGGACCUCAUAAAGUGCGUCGUAGUCCGGAUUGGAGUCUGCAACUCGACUCCAUGAAGUCGGAAUCGCUAGUAAUCGUGGAUCAGAAUGCCACGGUGAAUACGUUCCCGGGCCUUGUACACACCGCCCGUCACACCAUGGGAGUGGGUUGCAAAAGAAGUAGGUAGCUUAACCUUCGGGAGGGCGCUUACCACUUUGUGAUUCAUGACUGGGGUGAAGUCGUAACAAGGUAACCGUAGGGGAACCUGCGGUUGGAUCACCUCCUUACCUUAAAG
rnacentral:rRNA from 1 species